CACGUAGGGCGCAAGCGUUGUCCGGAAUUAUUGGGCGUAAAGAGCUCGUAGGCGGUUUGUCACGUCAGGAGUGAAAACUCGGGGCUCAACCCCGAGCCUGCUUCUGAUACGGGCAGACUAGAGGUAUGCAGGGGAGAACGGAAUUCCUGGUGUAGCGGUGAAAUGCGCAGAUAUCAGGAGGAACACCGGUGGCGAAGGCGGUUCUCUGGGCAUUACCUGACGCUGAGGAGCGAAAGUGUGGGGAGCGAACAGG
rnacentral:rRNA from 1 species